rnacentral:rRNA from 1 species
GAUCCUGGCUCAGGAUGAACGCUGGCGGCGUGCCUAAUACAUGCAAGUCGAACGCUUCACUUCGGUGAAGAGUGGCGAACGGGUGAGUAAUACAUAAGUAACCUGGCAUCUACAGGGGGAGUAACUGAUGGAAACGUCAGCUAAGACCGCAUAGGUGUAGAGAUCGCAUGAACUCUAUAUGAAAAGUGCUACGGGACUGGUAGAUGAUGGACUUAUGGCGCAUUAG